rnacentral:rRNA from 1 species
GGAAGAGCGGUCGCGCUGUUCGGAAACAAUCGAGAAGGGCUUCCCUGGAACGGGGGCCGUCCGAGCGCGUUGGACAGCCGAGCCAGACGCAGUUGACUCUCGCCCGAAGGACGCCGCAGCCGGUCGGGCAGCGCAAGCGUGACGGCCUGAGGGGCGGACGACGGCAGGUGGCCGGUGGCGCGCCUCGUUGCGCGUCGCCGGUUGUUAGCCGGUUCCGCCAGUGGCCCGUCGCUCGACCGAGGUGUCGCUAGGCCCAUACUGGGCCCCAUCGCCUCCUCGCCCCACAAGGGGACGAUACGGGACAGGACGUCGCAGGAGAAGGCUGCCGUCCCGCCGCACUCCGAGCGAGUGGGCGGGCGAGCAGAUCGGCUCCGUUGGCGACGGCGGACCCGUCGGAGGCCGGAGGCUGGCGGUGAGUAGGUCGGUCACCCACCCGACCCGUCUUGAAACACGGACCAAGGAGUCUAACAUGUGCGCGAGUCAAUGGGUCUUGAACAGGCCCAGAGGCGCAAUGAAAGCGAAGGUCGGCCGAGCGCCGUACCGAGUUGGGAUCCCGUUCCUGU